CCUACGGGUGGCAGCAGUGGGGAAUAUUGCACAAUGGGGGAAACCCUGAUGCAGCGACGCCGCGUGAGUGAAGAAGUAUUUCGGUAUGUAAAGCUCUAUCAGCAGGGAAGAAAAUGACGGUACCUGAUUAAGAAGCCCCGGCUAACUACGUGCCAGCAGCCGCGGUAAUACGUAGGGGACAAGCGUUAUCCGGAUUUACUGGGUGUAAAGGGAGCGUAGACGGCAGCACAAGGCUGGAGUGAAAUGGCGGGGCUUAACCCCGGCACUGCUGUGGAAACUGUGCAGCUAGAGUGCAGGAGAGGUAAGUGGAAUUCCUAGUGUAGCGGUGAAAUGCGUAGAUAUUAGGAGGAACACCAGUGGCGAAGGCGGCUUACUGGACUGUAACUGACGUUGAGGCUCGAAAGCGUGGGGAGCGAACAGGAUUAGAUACCCGAGUAGUC
rnacentral:rRNA from 1 species